rnacentral:rRNA from 1 species
GACGAACGCUGGCGGCGUGCCUAACACAUGCAAGUCGAACGGAGUGAAACGCUGAAUUGAAGGUAGCUUGCUACUGAAUUUUCUUGUUUCACUUAGUGGCGGACGGGUGAGUAACGCGUGAGUAACCUGCCUUACAGAGGGGGGACAACAGUUGGAAACGACUGCUAAUACCGCAUAACGUCUAACCGAGGCAUCUCGGAUAGACCAAAGGAGCAAUCCGCUGUAAGAUGGACUCGCGUCCAAUUAGAUAGUUGGUGAGGUAACGGCUCACCAAGGCGACGAUCAUUAGCCGGACUGAGAGGUUGAACGGCCACAUUGGGACUGAGACACGGCCCAGACUCCUACGGGAGGCAGCAGUGGGGAAUAUUGCGCAAUGGGGGAAACCCUGACGCAGCAAUGCCGCGUGAAGGAUGAAGGUUUUCGGAUUGUAAACUUCUUUUACUGAGGACGAAAGAAAUGACGGUACUCAGAGAAUAAGCCACGGCUAACUACGUGCCAGCAGCCG